AGUCAGGUCCCGCGCAACGGACGACCGUGAACUCCGUCAGACCCGGAAGGGAGCAGCGGCAGCGGUCUCAGCCGUGUGCCGCGGGAGCGCCUGACUGUC
rnacentral:SRP_RNA from 1 species